AUACUUACCUGGCAGGGGAGAUACCAUGAUCACAAAGGUGGUUGGGCACAUCCUUUGCACUCCCAGUGUACUGACUCCUGCGAUUUCCCCAAAUGUGGGAAACUCAACUGCAUAAUUUGUGUUGGUGGGGACUGUGUUCUCUGUCAUUC
rnacentral:snRNA from 1 species